CUUCUCUCCCUCGUGCAGCUCUCUCUUCGCGCUCUCUUCCUCUCUCAGCGCUUUCUUUCUCCAUCGUCACUCCACGACCAUCACCACUCUCUUUUUCCCUCUGUCGCGAAAACCUAAGCAUCACUCUCUCUCUCUCUCUCUCUCUCUCUCUCUCUCUCUGUGCAGUCGAUGUUAGGGUUUGUUGAGAGGGUUCUUGAAGGCCAAUCUCUGCGUCCCUCAGCUGCCCGGCCAAGGCUGUUCCUUCCACAGCUUCCGCACCAAUACCUACAAGCUUACUUUCAUGGAAUCCCCUUCUGGCAUUAAGAUAUCUUGGUUACUCAUCCCAGGACCGGCGACUUGCGUGAAUCUUUGAAGUACAUUUACAACUUGUAUGUGGAAUAUGUCGUGAAGAACCCGCUCUACACUUCUGGAACUCCAAUCAGGUAACUGGUUCAGUUUCGAUUAUCGUAAUGUAGUAAAUGAUCAAUCUUCAUAGUAACAAGUUUCAUCUCCAAUCAGGUAACUUGUUAGUAUUUUGUGAACUCUGUUUGUUAGAACCUGCCUACUUUUCUUUUCCUUGUAUAUAUAGUUCUAUUGAAUUAAUUUACUGGUGGCUUAUCCAUCUUUGAUUAGAGUUAAAUAUAUUGUGAGUGGAGAUAUAGAAGAGUGUAGGAUGUGGAAGGGUUUGAGACCAGGGGUAGUUUUCAAGAGGCUACCUGCUCUGUCCCUCAAGAUCUCAACCAACUGCAACUUAAUACCUCAGGAAAGCAGAGGUCAAGGCAAGGGUUAAAAUCCAUGGCAAACUUUGUUAUUUUAAAAAUAUUAUUUGGACUUAACAGUGUUAAGGGAGAAUAACAUUUAUUUGGAGUUUGACAUGUCAUAUUAUAGGUCUUUAUAUUAUUAGAAAGAUUUAAAUGUAACGAAAUGCGGGUAAAUGCAUGAUUAUUAUGCACAUGCUCAAAAUCUUGAACAAGAUACCUAUUUAUCAUGUAGUGAAAGAAAACGAGUCACCGUUAAAGAUAAGAAGUUAACCUGAAGGUUCGUACCCUUUAAGGUGGAAGCAAGCUAGGAAAAGUGAGUUCCCACUUGGGGUUUGAAAAUGAAGAUGAAAAAGACCGUGUUAAUGUUGCUGAGAUAAUAUGGUUUCUUCUGUUGUUGAGAUAAACAACUCAGAAAAUACAUAUGAAUGUCCAGAUGAAGCACAUGCGGGUCAGAACCCACAUGACAUGAAAGCAACUCUGUAAUUAUUAUUUUUUUAUAUAGCAGUUUAUAUCAAUUGCAAAUAAUAGUAAAACUCCACCCAAUUUUGAGUUCCCUUGCUCUUGGGUAGUUCUACUUUUCUCUUGCCCACCCAAUUCCUCAUUUGGGUGGCCUUUACUCUUCAAAUUGGUGAGGUUGAAGGCCAAGGAAAGAGCAAAAAUCCAAUUCUAAUUAAAUGAAAAAAAUUGCAAUGCAGCUUCCAAAAGUCCAAUUUUGAGUUCCCUUGCUCUUGGCUAGUUCUACGCUUCUCUUGCCCACCCAAUUCCUCAUCUGGGUAGCCUCUACUCUUCAAAUUGGUGAGGUUGAAGGCCAAGGAAAUUAUAAAAUGCAAUGCAAUUCAAAACCAAAACCAAUAAAAUCAAAAAAUCAAAUUAUGAAAUGCAAUGCAACACCUAGUAAACAACAUCCCAAAACAAUUAAAAACCAAAAACUACAUUACUGCAACUAGUAAGAUUUUCAACAAUUUGAAUCACAUAAAGACCUUGCAAAAUAGGAAAAUUGACAUGAUACUUGACCACAUUGUCAAAGAGCAUAAAGCCCGCAAGGAGGAAGCCGAGACUACAGGCAAGGACACAUCAAAUGAUCUAUUAGGUGUCUUUUUGAAUCUGCAGGAGCAUGGUGAGCUUGAAGUUUUUUUAACAAUGAAGAAUAUCAAAGCGGUUCUCCUAUCGAUGUUAGGGUUUGUUGAGAGGGUUCUUGAAGGCCAAUCUCUGAGUCCCUCAGCUGCCCAGCCAAGGCUGUUCCUUCCACAGCUUCCGCACCAAUACCUACAAGCUUACUUUCAUGGAAUCCCCUUCUGGCAUUAAGAUUAUCUUGGUUACUCAUCCCAGGACCAGCGACUUGCGUGAAUCUUUGUUUUGUGUUUAAUGUGCUGCUUCAGGUAACUUGUUAUUGUUAGUAUUUUGUUAGAACCUACCUACUUUUCUUUUCCUUGUAUAUAUAGUUCUAUUGAAUUAGUUGACUGGUGGCUUAUCCAUCUUUGAUUAGAGUUAAAUAUAUAGUGAGUGGAGAUAUAGAAGAGUGUAGGGGUAGUAUUCAAGAGGCUACCUGCUCUGUCCCUCAAGAUCUCAACCAAUUGCAACUUAAUACCUCAGGUCCGCUUCUCUUAGCUUUCUGGGAUUCUUCUUUUAUUGUUUUUUUUCAAUUGUUCAUUAUUUGCAGGGGUAGCUUCUGAAGUAGAUGUAUAUCUUGUGAAUGAGCUCAAGUUUAAUAUUCGUGUUUAUACAUCUGUUAGUGGUUGUGUUUUGUGGAAAUAUAUAUUUGGCUUAAUGUUUCUUCUUUUUCCUUCAUUGUUACAGAGUUCCAUGCAUAUCUGGCUUAAUGUUUCUUCUUUUUCCUUCAUUCUUCCCAAUUGAUCGCAAGUGAUCUUUCAUGUUCCUGUUGUAAAAGCCCUUCUCUUCCCUGGUGCUGUUGCAAAUGGUGCACCACGAAAUUACCAGACCUUCUAAGCUUAAUGUUCAUAUAUAGAAGGAACCUAGCCUAGGGAGACAACAUUGCACGUUUAACAGAAUUGAAACACAAUUAAAUUACUCACGCUUGUAACUAUCUGUUUUGAUAAACAUCAAAUUUUAUCUUC